rnacentral:rRNA from 1 species
AUUGAACGCUGGCGGCAGGCCUAACACAUGCAAGUCGAGCGGAUGACGGGAGCUUGCUCCUUGAUUCAGCGGCGGACGGGUGAGUAAUGCCUAGGAAUCUGCCUGGUAGUGGGGGACAACGUUUCGAAAGGAACGCUAAUACCGCAUACGUCCUACGGGAGAAAGCAGGGGACCUUCGGGCCUUGCGCUAUCAGAUGAGCCUAGGCCGGAUUAGCUAGUUGAUGAGGGAAUGGCUCACCAAGGCGACGAUCCGUAACUGGUCUGAGAGGAUGAUCAGUCACACUGGAACUGAGACACGGUCCAGAGUACUACGGGAGGCAGUAGUGGGGAAUAUUGGACAAUGGGCGAAUGCCUGAUCCAGCCAUGCCGCGUGUGUGAAGAAGGUCUUCGGAUUUUAAAGCACUUUAAGUUGGGAGGAAGGGCAGUAAGUUAAUACCUUGCUGUUUUGACGUUACCGACAGAAUAAGCACCGGCUAACUCUGUGCCAGCAGCCGCCGUAAUAC